rnacentral:misc_RNA from 1 species
AUGAGAAACUGUGGCUCGGUGCUUUGGACGUUUUUUGCCAUUAACCCUGGCUCGUCUUAAAUAUCUUAGUGGGAAACAACUUUUGUAAUCAAGGGUAUGAUAAGUCAUUUGCCUUACGAUUUCAAUAAUACAUUUUCCACUCUAAACACUCUAUAUUAAGCUCUGACCUCAAAUCAGGUAGGACUACCCGCUGAACUUAA